rnacentral:rRNA from 1 species
CGACGAGUUUGAUCCUGGCUCAGAUUGAACGCUGGCGGCAGGCCUAACACAUGCAAGUCGAGCGGUAGAGAGGAGCUUGCUUCUCUUGAGAGCGGCGGACGGGUGAGUAAUGCCUAGGAAUCUGCCUGGUAGUGGGGGAUAACGUUCGGAAACGGACGCUAAUACCGCAUACGUCCUACGGGAGAAAGUGGGGGAUCUUCGGACCUCACGCUAUCAGAUGAGCCUAGGUCGGAUUAGCUAGUUGGUGAGGUAAUGGCUCACCAAGGCGACGAUCCGUAACUGGUCUGAGAGGAUGAUCAGUCACACUGGAACUGAGACACGGUCCAGACUCCUACGGGGAGCAGCAGUGGGGAAUAUUGGACAAUGGGCGCAAGCCCUGAUCCAGCCAUGCCGCGUGUGUGAAA